rnacentral:lncRNA from 1 species
AGAGGGAGAGUACUGGGGAGAAGAGGGAGAGUAUUCUGGAGAGUUGGGGGAAGAGGUAGGGUAAUGGGGAGAAGAGAGAGAGCAUUCUGGAGAGUUAGGAGAAAGAGAGUACAUGAGAAAAGGAGGGGAAGAGGGACAGUGAGGAGGGGAAGAGGGAGAGUAGUGUGGAGAGUUUGGGGAAGAGGGAGAGUAUUGGGGAUAAGAGGGAAAGUAUUGGGGAGAAGAGGGAAAGUAUUUUGGAGAGUUGUGGGAAGAGGGAGAAUAUUGGGGAGAAGAGGGAGAGUAUUUUGGAGAGUUAGGAGAAAGAGAGUAUUGGGGGGAAGAAGGAGGGGAAGAGGGAGAGUAAUGUGGAGAGUUUGGGGAAGAAGGAGAGGAAGAGGGAGAGUACUGUACAAAGUUUGGG